GGCUUCCCAAUGCUUACCACAGGCUGUGUUCCUUACACUGACUAUAUAGAAAAAGGAGGUACAUUCAAUGAACCCCAUAUACACCUCAGCCCAGGUCCUUUGACUGGUCUGUAUUGUGAAUGGGGACAUGG